CCGCCAUCAAUGAAAGGCAUGACUUGCUCCUUCUUGCCUUCUGCCAUAAUUCUGAGGCCUGCCCAGCCACAUGGAACUGACAUGACUAUACCUUCUCGCAUCAGAAAAACAGCUAUGGAUAGUCUCCUGCAAUCAAACCAAUCUUCCAAAAAGACUGCUUUCAUAUCACUUCCCAGUUGGGCCUCAGGAGGUGAAAGACUCUGAAGGAGAAAGAAACAGUCAGGGGCUAUGUGAAUUCAUGAAGGGCUGCCAACAUGAUGUAGGUAUGAAGUAGCAGAAAAGUGGUGGAAUCCCAGACUACAUUACUGAUCCAAUUACUCAAAGAUGUUUUAUAUUUUGACAUUUUUCUAAGCAUCUUUCUAGCACCAUGUCUUAAAAAUGUCACUGCUCCUGCAAUUCUAUUGUGUUACUUAUAAUUUUACUUUUUUGAAUGGUAGAAAUGUACAGCACCUCAUAACGGCUAAACACAUUAAUUCUUAUUCUUCAAUAAAGUCUUCUACUUAAAUUUAGUUUAAGCUUAUAAGCAGAGAUACAGUUAUGGAAACAGUUGACACUUUAUCUAGGCCAUUGAUAAAAGAACAUUUAUUUCAGACACAGUGAUUCAAAGACAAGCUUACAAUAAGCUUUUAGUUACUGCCCAGUUUUUAG
rnacentral:lncRNA from 10 species